GACGAACCGUGCGAACGUUAUUCGGAUUCACUGGGCUUAAAGGGCGCGUAGGCGGCGAUUCAAGUCUGGGGUGAAAGCCUUCGGCUUAACCGGAGAAGUGCCUUGGAUACUGGAUCGCUCGAGGGGGAUAGGGGCAUGCGGAACUUCCGGUGGAGCGGUGAAAUGCGUAGAUAUCGGAAGGAACGCCGGUGGCGAAGGCGGCUCACUGGACCGGAACUGACGCUGAGGCGCGAAAGCGUGGGGAGCAAACAGG
rnacentral:rRNA from 1 species